rnacentral:ncRNA from 1 species
UACAUUUGCACCCGUUCAAUGGAACAUACAUAAUAAUCAUUUACAAUAAUAUUAGCAUG